GCGGAGGGCCGGACGGCCGCUGCGGUGCAAGCCGCGGAGGAAAGUCCGGACUCACCGAAGUACCGGUGCCGGGUAACGCCCGGGCAGGGCAACCUGACGGAGAGCGCCACAGAAAACAGACUGCCUCCGGCCUGGCCGGGGGUGAGGGUGAAACGGUGGAGUAAGAGCCCACCGGGGCCCUGGCAACAGGGUCCGCAUGGCAAGCCCCACCGGGAGCAAUGCCGAAUAGGGGUCUCGCGCGCCGCAAGGCGCAGGGCAGCUUCGGCCCGAGAGAUCCGGGUUGGCAGCAGGAGCCGGCGGGCAACCGUCGGCCUCAGAUGAAUGGUCGUCGCCCCGCAAGGGGUACAGAAUCCGGCUUACAGGCCCUCCGCGCAU
rnacentral:RNase_P_RNA from 1 species